rnacentral:rRNA from 1 species
GACGAACGCUGGCGGCGUGCCUAAUACAUGCAAGUCGAGCGGGCCUCCGGAGGUGCUUGCACCUCCGGAAGGCCAGCGGCGGACGGGUGAGUAACACAUGGGCAACCUGCCUUUGAGGCCGGGAUAACACCGGGAAACCGGUGCUAAUACCGGAUACGUCCUCUUUCGCGCCUGCGAGAGGGGAGAAAGACGGUCUUUAAGGCCGUCGCUCAAAGAGGGGCCCGCGGCGCAUUAGCUGGUUGGUGGGGUAAGGGCCUACCAAGGCGACGAUGCGUUGCCGACCUGAGAGGGUGAUCGGCCACACUGGGACUGAGACACGGCCCAGACUCCUGCGGGAGGCAGCAGUAGGGAAUCAUCCGCAAUGGGCGAAAGCCUGACGGUGCAACGCCGCGUGAGUGAGGAAGGUUUUCGGAUCGUAAAGCUCUGUUGUGAGGGAAGGACAGCUUCCGGAGGAAAUGCCGGAGGUUUGCCGGUACCUCACCAGAAAGCCCCGGCUAACUACGUGCCAGCCGCCGCGGUAAUAC